AUCCUUUUUUAGCUCCUGUUGGAUGAUUGAGUUUUCAUGUAGAUGAAUGACGUGUGCCUUUCUCAAACCUUGUUAUGAUUUUGGCCUAUUACCUGUCUGACG